rnacentral:tRNA from 1 species
GGAUUGUGGCUCAGCGGUAGAGCACUCACCUAGCGCAUGCGAGGCCCUGGGUUCAAUCCUCAGUACCA